GGCUGGCCACUUGUCACCCUUAAUGCUACAUCUAUGGUCUGGUGACUUUAUGUGCCAUUUCUGGUAUAUACUGGGCUAUUCCAGAAGAGUUGAAUUGUUGCCUCCGUUAUGGAAAGAUACAGUGAUUUCUAUGAGUGAGUGUGUAAGGAAGAGAAGAAAAAAUUAUCCUAAUGGCUAAUCUCAUAAAAUAUUUAAUGCUCUUCAAUUUAAGAAAUAUUUAGAGCAUGACUGUGCCAAGAUUUAGGGAUUUGUGGGGGAAAAAAAUUGAAGACAGAGUCUCAACAAUGAAGCAAAAUAAGGUCCCUGCCUCUCAGGAGCACACAUGUCACUGCUGAAACAGACACAUACACAAAUAAUUAAUAAUAAUGUCCACCACUUGCUGCCUACUUCCUACCUAUCAGGCUCUGUUUUAUAUCUUAACUAACUCCAAUCCUUAAACUAGCCCAAUGCACUAGGUGCUGUUAUUCGGCCCAUCUGCAGACAAGGAGAGAGGAAGAGACGGGUAAAGCAACUUGUUCAAAAUCACAGAACUGGUAGAUGGUAAAGCUGGAAUUCAGACCAGGCUGUCUGGCUCAAGAGUGCAAGUUACUUACAACAGCUUCUCCAAUUAAAGUAGGAGUGGUGCUCCUGCAGCUGAGUUCUCACAAACGAGGGAGAUAGAAAAGGUGGUACAGAAACUGGAUUUCAAAAAAUGAGUAAGACAAUGACAGUAGGGCAUUGGAGGAAGGAUCAUGCUCAGCAGGGACGAAGGCAGCUGGGGAGGAUCAGAGCGGCAUGAAGCGGGCCCGCCAGGGCCAGCCUGCAAACUCUGUUCCACGCGACAGGCUUCUGUGAUCGCCCUUCAAUAAGCGCCACAGACCAAGCGACCAGAGCUUACCCCGUUAUGUUCCACGGCCUGUACUUCACCGACAGAGCUGGGAAACAAAUAAAAUUAGCAAGCUGCAGCCACCACUGGCCCUCAGCGCGCAGACAUCUCAGCACCCGUGGGGCUGGGUUAUAAAACGCUCCCAUGCAAGGCUGCGGAAACCUGCCGACGCACAAAGCAGCCGAACGCCGGGCCUGGCGGUGCGAGCGCGAAGGCAGCCACCCCGGCUACACUCUCAAGGCCGAGCGGCCAAGGCACCGUCUCUCCCAGAGCUCCGGUUGCACUGUUAUUCCGCCUUUUUGGUCCCCUCUGUCAUUAUUCUUGGCACGGCGACUCACACUGACCCUUUUCUGAUCCAUCAUCCUCUCUGGCCUUUCAGGGCCGGGCCCCAGACAUGCUCUUUUGGACCCAGCCCCGGGAAUAACUCUGAUUUUGUAUGGGGGCUCAUAUGCAAAACAUUAAGUUAUGGCAGAAGUUUUCUGCAAAUAUUUAUCCUGCUUUGAUACUGUAGUGGUUGUACACCCCCACCCCGCCCCCCAAAGCCUUUCACUUGGGCCAUAAUUAUGUCAAAAUACACCAUAUCAUUCAGGUUUGCGGCGGGAAAAUUAAUAAAAAGAAUUAAGGCAGUCACAACGGGUCGUCUUGUCUGUGCCAGGCCCAGUGACGUCACAGCCAGCACGUCAGGGCGCGAGGCCUCUGAACCUGACACUAGACCCAUAAACUCCAAGUAAACCUGGAGUCUCCUUAUAAACAGAGACUCUUAGAAGACUGGGAGGCAGCCCGCGUGUUAUGAAAGGGAACAAUAUAAAAAUGUUACAGACCCAUCUUUGGAGAAGUUGAGUUACAUAAAGCCCCAGUUCUGCUGACUGGAGCUCUAUUUGCUCCAUUUCUCAAAUUAACCAUGAGAAAACUAACACCAUACUGCCAACUAAUUGUUUCAAGCCUUUCCUUUACAAAGUAAAGAUGGAAGGAGAAAUAGUCACCAGAGAAAGAAUUAUUUUCAUUGUCUCCACAUUCACGUGACUGCUGAGACCUACUGGAGUUGGCCAGCCCGAGGACAGGAUCGGGGUGGGGGGGCUCUCAGUCCCCUCCUGUCUGUCACCAAGCAAUUACACUUACUGCUCUGACCUCCCCUCCAAACAUACAGACACUGGCUUGUUAGCUCUACAAGUUACUAGAAAGAAGUUUUCCUUUUAGCCCUAAAUAUGAAAAUGUUUAAUUAGACAGGAGUAUUUCCAGUACGUUAGAGACAAUCCACACAAAGCUUUGUUUUGAUAGCAGCACUUUAAAAAGAAAAAGGAAAAAAAAAGAGA